GAAGCAAGCCAGACCGCCGCUGGGGCAAGCAUGGAAACAUGGCCCUGGAGGAAGGUCCGGACUGCAAAGAGCGACGUAGCGGGUAACGCCCGUCCACCGCAAGGUGCGGAUCAGAGCCACAGAGACGAGCCGGUUAAGUCCGGAGUGAAACGCGGCAAUCUCUACGUGCAGCAACACCAAGUAGGCCAGCGUUGAUGCGGCUCGCAGAGCUGGCGGGUAGGUGGCACCGAGCCGGGCAGCGAUGCCCGGCCCAGAGGAAUGGCGGUCACAUCGCCCAACCCGUUAGGGGCGGGCGGUGCACAGAAUCCGGCCUAUCGGCUUGCUUCACUU
rfam:Pelomonas sp. Root1444 contig_11, whole genome shotgun sequence.